UAAUUCCUGAAAAUUAUAAGUAAAAAUAAUCAUAUAAAAAUUGCCAUGCAGGAAAAAAAUCCGGUUCAUGGACCUCAUAUUCCUGUGAGUGGUGUUCACUCGUAGAUUGAUGUUCAAGACUUUCCAUCUGAACUGCAGUGACUGGAUCCAGGGUAUCAAGUGAGGAGACCAUGGUGUUCGAGCCUGGAGGGCGCGCUAUGUUAUCUUUCUGAUUAGUAUCAAGCUUGGCAGUAAGCAAUAGAAAAGCUUAGAAUAAUGUAUUGACUGCAUCACAUUAAAGGUUUUCAUUGUUAA